GACGAACGCUGGCGGCGUGCUUAACACAUGCAAGUCGAACGGAAAGGCCCUGCUUUUGUGGGGUGCUCGAGUGGCGAACGGGUGAGUAACACGUGAGUAACCUGCCCUUGACUUUGGGAUAACUUCAGGAAACUGGGGCUAAUACCGGAUAGGAGCUCCUGCUGCAUGGUGGGGGUUGGAAAGUUUCGGCGGUUGGGGAUGGACUCGCGGCUUAUCAGCUUGUUGGUGGGGUAGUGGCUUACCAAGGCUUUGACGGGUAGCCGGCCUGAGAGGGUGACCGGCCACAUUGGGACUGAGAUACGGCCCAGACUCCUACGGGAGGCAGCAGUGGGGAAUAUUGCACAAUGGGCGGAAGCCUGAUGCAGCAACGCCGCGUGCGGGAUGACGGCCUUCGGGUUGUAAACCGCUUUCGCCUGUGACGAAGCGUGAGUGACGGUAAUGGGUAAAGAAGCACCGGCUAACUACGUGCCAGCAGCCGCGGUGAUACGUAGGGUGCGAGCGUUGUCCGGAUUUAUUGGGCGUAAAGGGCUCGUAGGUGGUUGAUCGCGUCGGAAGUGUAAUCUUGGGGCUUAACCCUGAGCGUGCUUUCGAUACGGGUUGACUUGAGGAAGGUAGGGGAGAAUGGAAUUCCUGGUGGAGCGGUGGAAUGCGCAGAUAUCAGGAGGAACACCAGUGGCGAAGGCGGUUCUCUGGGCCUUUCCUGACGCUGAGGAGCGAAAGCGUGGGGAGCGAACAGGCUUAGAUACCCUGGUAGUCCGCGCUGUAAACGGUGGGUACUAGGUGUGGGGUCCAUUCCACGGGUUCCGUGCCGUAGCUAACGCUUUAAGUACCCCGCCUGGGGAGUACGGCCGCAAGGCUAAAACUCAAAGGAAUUGACGGGGCCCCGCACAAGCGGCGGAGCAUGCGGAUUAAUUCGAUGCAACGCGUAGAACCUUACCUGGGUUUGACAUGGAUCGGGAGUGCUCAGAGAUGGGUGUGCCUCUUUUGGGGUCGGUUCACAGGUGGUGCAUGGCUGUCGUCAGCUCGUGUCGUGAGAUGUUGGGUUAAGUCCCGCAACGAGCGCAACCCUUGUUCACUGUUGCCAGCACGUUAUGGUGGGGACUCAGUGGAGACCGCCGGGGUCAACUCGGAGGAAGGUGGGGAUGACGUCAAGUCAUCAUGCCCCUUAUGUCCAGGGCUUCACGCAUGCUACAAUGGCUGGUACAGAGAGUGGCGAGCCUGUGAGGGUGAGCGAAUCUCGGAAAGCCGGUCUCAGUUCGGAUUGGGGUCUGCAACUCGACCUCAUGAAGUCGGAGUCGCUAGUAAUCGCAGAUCAGCAACGCUGCGGUGAAUACGUUCCCGGG
rnacentral:rRNA from 1 species